rnacentral:lncRNA from 1 species
CUUAGGCCCAGUCAGAGUCAGAGGAGACCCAGGAGAGUGCUCUCCGCACUCCACUCUCUGGAUCUUACUGCUUAACUGCAAUCCCCGUGGGCAAUUCGGUUGCCAUUUGUGUUGUUGCCCCUUUUACCUUUUUCUUGUCCCGUUUUUUUUGUGUCUUCUGGAAAAAUGGUUGACGGAAAUGUUAUUUAAGAAGCGGAGAAAUGUUUUGCAUUUUUUCAUGGUUUCUAGC